UAACAUUUGGAAACAGAUGCUAAUACCGCAUAGAUCCAAGAACCGCAUGGUUCUUGGCUGAAAGAUGGCCUAAGCUAUCGCUUUUGGAUGGACCCGCGGCGUAUUAGCUAGUUGGUGAGGUAAUGGCUCACCAAGGCGAUGAUACGUAGCCGAACUGAGAGGUUGAUCGGCCACAUUGGGACUGAGACACGGCCCAAACUCCUACGGGAGGCAGCAGUAGGGAAUCUUCCACAAUGGACGCAAGUCUGAUGGAGCAACGCCGCGUGAGUGAAGAAGGCUUUCGGGUCGUAAAACUCUGUUGUUGGAGAAGAAUGGUCGGCAGAGUAACUGUUGUCGGCGUGACGGUAUCCAACCAGAAAGCCACGGCUAACUACGUGCCAGCAGCCGCGGUAAUACGUAGGUGGCAAGCGUUAUCCGGAUUUAUUGGGCGUAAAGCGAGCGCAGGCGGUUUUUUAAGUCUGAUGUGAAAGCCCUCGGCUUAACCGAGGAAGCGCGUCGGAAACUGGGAAACUUGAGUGCAGAAGAGGACAGUGGAACUCCAUGUGUAGCGGUGAAAUGCGUAGAUAUAUGGAAGAACACCAGUGGCGAAGGCGGCUGUCUGGUCUGUAACUGACGCUGAGGCUCGAAAGCAUGGGUAGCGAACAGGAUUAGAUACCCUGGUAGUCCAUGCCGUAAACGAUG
rnacentral:rRNA from 1 species